AAGACCUUGCACUUUUGGAGCGGCCGAUGUCUGAUUAGCUAGUUGGUGGGGUAAUGGCCUACCAAAGCUUCGAUCAGUAGCUGGUCUGAGAGGACGGCCAGCCACACUGGGACUGAGACACGGCCCAGACUCCUACGGGAGGCAGCAGUGGGGAAUUUUGGACAAUGGGCGCAAGCCUGAUCCAGCCAUGCCGCGUGAGUGAAGAAGGCCUUCGGGUUGUAAAGCUCUUUCAGCCGGGAAGAAAAGGUUGCGACUAAUAAUCGCAAUCCAUGACGGUACCGAAAGAAGAAGCACCGGCUAACUACGUGCCAGCAGCCGCGGUAAUACGUAGGGUGCGAGCGUUAAUCGGAAUUACUGGGCGUAAAGAGUGCGCAGGCGGUUUUGUAAGUCAGAUGUGAAAUCCCCGGGCUUAACCUGGGAACU
rnacentral:rRNA from 1 species